AUUGAACGCUGGCGGCAGGCCUAACACAUGCAAGUCGAACGUGUCGCACACGUGUGUGUAAUGUCUGGGAAACUGCCUGAUGGAGGGGGAUAACUACUGGAAACGGUAGCUAAUACCGCAUACCAUCGGAUGUGCCCAGAGGGGAUUAGCUUGUAGGUGGGGUAAAGGCUCACCUAGGCGACGAUCCCUAGCUGGUCUGAGAGGAUGACCAGCCACACGGGAACUUAGACACGGUCAAGACUCCUACGGGAGGCAGCAGUGGGGAAUAUGGCACAAUGGGCGCAAGCCUGAUGCAGCCAUGCCGCGUGGAUGAAGAAGGCCUUCGGGUUGUAAAGUACUUUCAGCGGGGAGGCGUUACCCGCAGAAGAAGCACCGGCUAACUCCGUGCCAGCAGCCGCGGUAAUAC
rnacentral:rRNA from 1 species